rnacentral:rRNA from 1 species
AGAGUUUGAUCAUGGCUCAGAUUGAACGCUGGCGGAAUGCUUUACACAUGCAAGUCGAGCGGCAGCGCGGGGGCAACCCUGGCGGCGAGCGGCGAACGGGUGAGUAACAUAUCGGAACGUACCCCGUCGUGGGGGAUAACACAGCGAAAGCUGUGCUAAUACCGCAUACGACCUGAGGGUGAAAGCGGGGGAUCGCAAGACCUCGCGCGAUGGGAGCGGCCGAUAUCGGAUUAGCUUGUUGGUGAGGUAAAGGCUCACCAAGGCGACGAUCCGUAGCUGGUCUGAGAGGACGACCAGCCACACUGGAACUGAGACACGGUCCAGACUCCUACGGGAGGCAGCAGUGGGGAAUUUUGGACAAUGGGGCAACCCUGAUCCAGCCAUUCCGCGUGAGUGAAGAAGGCCUUCGGGUUGUAAAGCUCUUUCAGCAGGAACGAAACGGUGGCCAUUAAUACUGGCUACUAAUGACGGUACCUGAAGAAGAAGCACCGGCUAACUACGUG